GCCAGGCAUGGUGGUGGGUACCUGUAAUCCCAGCUACUUGGGAGGCUGAGGCAGGAGAAUUGCUUGCGCCCGGGAGGUGGAGGUUGCAGUGAGCCAUGAUUGUACCACUGCACUCCAGCCUGGGCGAUAGAGCAAGACUCAGUCUCAA
rnacentral:SRP_RNA from 1 species